UACGUAGGGAGCAAGCGUUGUCCGGAAUCAUUGGGCGUAAAGCGCGCGUAGGUGGCUUCGUAAGUCCGUUGUGAAAGUCAAAGGCUCAACCUUUGAAAGCCGAUGGAUACUGUGAAGCUAGAGUACGGAAGAGGCGAGUGGAAUUCCUGGUGUAGCGGUGGAAUGCGCAGAUAUCAGGAGGAAUACCCAUAGCGAAGGCAGCUCGCUGGGACGGUACUGACGCUGAGGCGCGAAAGCGUGGGGAGCGAACAGG
rnacentral:rRNA from 1 species